CCCUCAUCAAGCAGUUCAGAGUUGUUAGGCAAAGAAGAGGACGUUCGCUCCCUGAUGCAAGUUGGUGGAUUAACGGUGUGCGUCCAUUGGAACUAACCACACCAUAUAUCACCCUGCUGUUGGGGAAAGAGCGUGUGUCAGAUUGAGAACAACCAUGCACCAGCAUCAGCGCACCCGAUUUUACAGUCUGCAUCCUCAGCAAACUUUUAUAAAAUGUCUCUACUCUCAUUCAGAGAGUAAUAGAGAGAGGUUUAUGUCAAAAUUUGAUGGACCUUUUUUGACCUUUUGACCCCUGUCAAAAUCUGAUGGAUGACCGUGACGACCUUGUUGACCCAAUCAAAGGGAUCAUGAGAAACUUGAAAACAUGAAAAACGUCUCGGUAGAAGAAGACGGGGGUCCGGAAGAAGAUUUGUCUUCUGUGGCGACUGAGUCAGAGUCAGAGGGGUGUAAACAAGACUUGGGAGAUAUACCAGAAGGACGCCGAGGACGUCGUAAAAAGUCAAAGCAGAGGAGUGAGAGACAGGAAGAGGAUCAGAGCAUGAAAGAGGUUGAUGAAAAGUCUUCUCACCCACGCAAUCUACAUCUUAGCUGAAGUCUGGUAAUGUGAAGCAGUUUUUUUUUUUUGUCAAACAUAUGGAUCUUAAUACGGAUGAGGAUUUUCCUGAUAUUGUACCGCAUGAAUUGGAGGCUGUCAUAAAUGAGUUAAAUAGAAGCCCUAAUGAGCAAAAUGAUCUGACCCCUGAAAAAAAUAAUGAUGAUGAUUCAUUUUUGGCUAUUAGACAAAUCGCAGAUUUUGAAGACUUUUUUUAGUCCGCUUGAAAGAGCGCUCAAGUGGCUUAAUCAGCCAUCGGCGUCUGAUUGUACACACAAUGAACCGUCCUUACAAGUCGGAGGAAAUCUGGCAGAGCCUCAAAUAGUGAACAGGUCCCAUUUCAACAAUGUGUGCUAAACAUCCCUCUUCCUGAACGCGUGCCUGAUUUUGCAACCUGCUACACCGGUGUUAUGGAAAAUGUGAACGAUUUAGCAGCCUCAGCUCCGGGGGAUGUUGUGCAGUGAGACAACACGUAUCUGUUCGCGUGACGGAGGACCCUUAGGAUGUCAUGGAGACGUUUCAAAAUUGACUGGACUGUCUGGUACAAUCCAAUGUAGAUGUCAUGACCGACGUGGGGCUCGAACUUGUCAUGCAGGUUGUGCGCGACCAGAGAGGGGGUGCUGGUGCAAAACGCAAGUUGGAGAAAACACUCGAUUGUGAAAUCAUCCAAAACGAAAAAAACGCCAUUUGUGCAUCCUGUACAAUAGAGAUCAAUUAUGCUUGGCCACCAUGAUAGCUCUGAUGCUCGACAUCAGCUGUAAGAAAAAAGGAAAAGGCUUGUUUGCCUCCACAAUGGCAAUUUAAUGAUGAUCCAUAUCAUCCCCUCCCAAACUAACUAAACUUCCCACCCGCCUACAAAGACAACCAUGAAACACCAAAUUAAUCCCGAACAUUUACCCCCCACCCCGAAAGUGUCCCAAAGUUCCCCAAAGAGUCAGUAUUAGUCCUCAAGACAAAGGUGAAAGCCGCAGUUCCACUCACGGACGCGCAUCCACCUGUCCAAUCCCUGGGUCCGGAACCUUGCCCAAAGUUCCAACAGCUCAAGCCGAGAGGGAAAAGGAAAUCCCAUCAGGUGGCCGCUUGACAGAGUUGGUCCUCGUGGCUCGAACGCCGGCUCUCAGGGUCCCCUCGGCGUGUGACGUCACUAAAAACUAGCAGUUUUCUUACAGCUGAGUCUAAUAUAGUGACGCACUUACGGACCCUGCUACCUCUGCUGAUGGACUUCUGUGGCCAUUACAGUGCAACCGCUAACGACAGAAAAACCCUGCGAUAACUUGAUAUUUUCUGAUUUUGAAACCUACGUGGAUCAAAACAAUAAACGCGUUCCUUUCCUGGUGUGUACAAAAACAUUGGAUGGAAAUGAGCGGAGCUGAUUCGGUGAGGAUUGUGUCAAAAAAUGGAUCCUCCAUUUCAGGAAAAUAAUUUUAAGGGAUGGACCUUAAUAGCUCACAAUGCGAGAGGAUUUGACAGUUAUUUUGUCCUCAGUCAAAUGACGGAAAUUAAGCUCACACCAUCCAUUAUCAUGAUGGGGAGUAAAGUUCUGGGUUUUACGGACCAAUAUUACAAUUUGAAGUACAUCGACUUGUUGUCGUUCCUCACCAUGCGACUCGGCGCCAUGCCCAAAGCCUUGGGGUUUGAAGAUCAAACUAAAGGUUAUUUUCCACACAAGUUCAGCUCCAAGGAGCAUCUAAAGUACGUAGACCCGUA